CCAGAGAAUUUAGCAGAGAUGCUUUAGUGCCUUCGGGAACUCUGAGACAGGUGCUGCAUGGCUGUCGUCAGCUCGUGUUGUGAAAUGUUGGUUAAGUCCCGCAACGAGCGCAACCCCUAUCCUUUGUUGCCAGCGAUUCGGUCGGGAACUCAAAGGAGACUGCCGGUGAUAAACCGGAGGAAGGUGGGGAUGACGUCAAGUCAUCAUGGCCCUUACGAGUAGGGCUACACACGUGCUACAAUGGCGCAUACAAAGAGAAGCGACCUCGCGAGAGCAAGCGGACCUCAUAAAGUGCGUCGUAGUCCGGAUUGGAGUCUGCAACUCGACUCCAUGAAGUCGGAAUCGCUAGUAAUCGUAGAUCAGAAUGCUACGGUGAAUACGUUCCCGGGCCUUGUACACACCGCCCGUCACACCAUGGGAGUGGGUUGCAAAAGAAGUAGAUAGCUUAACCUUCGGGAGGGCGUUUACCACUUUGUGAUUCAUGACUGGGGGUGAAGUCGUAACAAGGUAAGCGUAGCGAG
rnacentral:rRNA from 1 species